GACGAACGCUGGCGGCGUGCCUAAUACAUGCAAGUCGAGCGCAGGAAAUCAUCCGAACCCUUCGGGGGGACGUUGAUGGAAUGAGCGGCGGACGGGUGAGUAACACGUAAAGAACAUGCCCUCAGGUCUGGGAUAACCACGAGAAAUCGGGGCUAAUACCGGAUGGGUCAUCGGACCGCAUGGUCCGAGGAUGAAAGGCGCUUCGGCGUCGCCUGGGGAUGGCUUUGCGGUGCAUUAGCUAGUUGGUGGGGUAAUGGCCCACCAAGGCGACGAUGCAUAGCCGACCUGAGAGGGUGAUCGGCCACACUGGGACUGAGACACGGCCCAGACUCCUACGGGAGGCAGCAGUAGGGAAUCUUCCACAAUGGACGAAAGUCUGAUGGAGCAACGCCGCGUGAACGAUGAAGGCCUUCGGGUCGUAAAGUUCUGUUGUAAGGGAAGAACAAGUGCCGCAGGCAAUGGCGGCGCCUUGACGGUACCUUGCGAGAAAGCCACGGCUAACUACGUGCCAGCCGCCGCAGUAAGAC
rnacentral:rRNA from 1 species